rnacentral:rRNA from 1 species
ACUACGGGUGGCAGCAGUGAGGAAUAUUGGUCAAUGGCCGGAAGGCUGAACCAGCCAAGCCGCGUGAAGGACGAAGGUGCCAAGAAUUGUAAACUUCUUUUGUCAAGGGACAAAAUCAGGCUCGAGAGCCUGACCGAGGGUACUUGAAGAAAAAGCAUCGGCUAACUCCGUGCCAGCAGCCGCGGUAAUACGGAGGAUGCGAGCGUUAUCCGGAUUUAUUGGGUUUAAAGGGUGCGUAGGCGGACCGUUAAGUUCGGGGUAAAAGCCCGGGGCUUAACCCCGGCCGUGCCGUUGAAACUGGCUGUCUUGAGAUGUCGUGAGGUAGGCGGAAUGCGCGGUGUAGCGGUGAAAUGCUUAGAGAU